rnacentral:lncRNA from 1 species
CUGUAACCUAAUCUACUGUGCUCACCAUAUGCGAUCCAUUCUUGCAAAUUUGCCUUCCUUGCUUUUCUCUGGCUUCUCCAGGCAUAGUCCUACAUUAUACUGUGGUGAGCCAUUCUUAUAGACCGUGGCCGCCAUUAGAAGAUGGCGCCGGCUUCCACUGUGGCCUGUGAUAAACAACUCCUUUUUUGGAGAGUUGGCACGCAAUCCCUUACCACCCUAUGAGAGAGAUCCACGUGGCAGCUUGGGAUUGGUAUGCCGGAGGCUUUAUUAGGCUGUGCUUGGGCGCUCGGCGGGGGGGUCACUAGAAGAUGAUACAUGAAUCAAGGCCUGAAUAAACUGCUGAAAGAAGAAUCCUGUGUCGUGUUUUCCCUUGCCGGCGAGGGGUCGCGACAUUAUACUUCUGCCCUUGCUGUUCCUUCAAAUUACAGCAUUCACUUUCUUCUAGUCUUUGUGUAAUACUUUCUCUUUAGUGAGUAAUUUUAUAAAAUGCUGUUUAAAAUUAGGAUGUCCUUAGCCUAGCUCUUCUUAUCCUUUGCUUUGUAUCUCUGCAUAGUAAUUAUUACCUUCUCAUAUACUAUAUUAAUUAGCUACUUAUUUUGUCAGUUUCUAAAGAAACUUUGGGAGGGGAGGGAGGUACCAGGGAUUGAACUCAGGGGCACUAGGCCACUGAGCCACAUCCCAGUCCUAUUUUGUAUUUUUAUGUAGAAACAGGGUCUCACUGAGUUGUUUAGUGCUUCACUUUUGCUGAGGCUGGCUUUGAACUGCCAUUCCUCCUGCUUCAGCCUCCCAAGCCUCUGAG